rnacentral:rRNA from 1 species
AUGGCGUCGCUCUCCCUCUCCCUCCGCGCCUCCGCCUCCCCGGCCGCCUCCGGAUCCCGCGCCGCCGCCCCAAUCAAGGCAUCGUGCGUGAGGAGCAAGGUUGCCUGCAGCUUCCCUUCCGUCGGAGCUACCUCCUCACCUGCUAGAAGCAUUGAGCCGGUAAGAGCCACCGCCACACAGGCGCCCCCUGCCUCCUCUCAAUCUUCUAGUGGGGAGAAGACAAAGGUCGGCAUCAAUGGUUUUGGGCGGAUUGGGAGGUUAGUUCUGCGAAUUGCAAUCGAUAGAGAUGAUAUUGAAGUUGUGGCCGUCAAUGAUCCGUUUAUCGAUGCUAAAUACAUGGCCUACAUGUUUAAGUAUGAUUCCACACACGGUCCAUUCAAAGGAACCAUAGCAGUUCUGGACGAGUCAACCUUGGAGAUUAAUGGGAAGAAAGUCUCAGUUACAAGCAAAAGGUGGUGUCACAUAUCUCUUUUCUUAUCAACUCCAAUGCUGGCAAGUGUCAGAUUCAGAUAUCAAGUGUUCUUUUCACUGGACCCCUCAGAUAUCCCUUGGGGUAACUUUGGAGCUGAAUAUGUUGUUGAAUCAUCUGGUGUUUUUACAACAGUUGAGAAAGCUUCAGCACAUUUGAAGGGGGGUGCAAAGAAAGUGGUGAUAUCGGCUCCGUCAGCGGAUGCUCCCAUGUUUGUUGUUGGAGUAAAUGAGAAGAAUUACAACCCUAGCAUGGAUGUCGUCUCUAAUGCUAGUUGUACCACCAACUGUCUUGCUCCUGUUGCCAAGGUUGUCCACGAGGAGUUUGGCAUUCUUGAAGGCCUAAUGACAACUGUCCAUGCCACAACAGCCACUCAAAAGACUGUUGAUGGUCCUUCGAUGAAGGACUGGAGGGGAGGACGUGGUGCUGGUCAAAACAUCAUCCCUAGCUCUACGGGUGCAGCAAAGGCUGUUGGAAAGGUCCUUCCAGCUUUAAAUGGAAAGCUCACUGGCAUGGCCUUCCGGGUUCCUACACCUAACGUAUCCGUUGUUGAUCUGACCUGCCGACUUGAGAAAGACGCUUCCUACGAAGAUGUGAAAGCAGCUAUCAAGGAAGCAUCAGAAGGUCCGCUUAAAGGUAUUUUAGGCUACACAGAUGAGGAUGUUGUUUCAAACGACUUUGUUGGUGACACAAGGUCAAGCAUAUUUGAUGCCAAUGCUGGUAUGGGUCUAAGUUCAUCUUUCAUGAAGCUCGUCUCCUGGUACGACAACGAGUGGGGCUAUAGCAACCGUGUCCUGGAUCUGAUCGGGCACAUGGUUCUUGUCGCCUAA